rnacentral:rRNA from 1 species
GAUGAACGCUAGCGGGAGGCUUAACACAUGCAAGUCGAGGGGCAUCUCUGGUAGCAAUACUGGAGGCGACCGGCGUACGGGUGAGUAACGCGUAUGUAACCUACCCUUUACCGGGGGAUAGCUCCCGGAAACGGGAAUUAAUACCCCAUGAGGUUUCGGAGGCGCAUGCUUUCGGGAUCAAAGCUACGGCGGUAAAGGAUGGGCAUGCGUUAGCAUUAGCUAGUUGGUAGGGUAACGGCCUACCAAGGCUACGAUGCUUAGGGGACCUGAGAGGGUGUACCCCCACACUGGUACUGGAGACACGGACCAGACCUCCUACGGGAGGCAGCAGUGAGGAAUAUUGGUCAAUGGGCGAGAGCCUGAACCAGCCAAGUCGCGUGAAGGAAGAAGGUUCUAUGGAUUGUAAACUUCUUUUGCAGGGGAAUAAAGGACGGUACGUGUACUGUUUUGUAUGUACCUUGCGAAUAAGGAUCGGCUAACUCCGUG